AGCAAGAAACACAAAGAGUAUAAAAUAAUAAUUGCAUGAACUGAAUCAUCAGGUGAGUGAGGUGUCAAGAAACUGGAGCGAGAGUGAAUUGAAAGCAGCCAGAGUCAUCAUGAACAUCUGGAGGACUUAUGGUAGGCCAAGUGAAGAGUACUAGCUUAAGCCAGCUAAUAGUGUGUGCCUAUAGGCCCAGCAGUCAGGAGAUGGGAGAGAGAAGGGAGAGGACAGGAAUUGUUAGCUCCAGAGCAAGAUCAGGGCUAGCCCAGGACACAUGGGAUCCCUAAAGCAAACAAAGAAGUGAAAAAGCAGGCACAGUGUCACGUGCCUGUAACCCAGCCCUUCGGAAGCGAAGGCUGGGCUGCGUAGUGAAAGCUGGUCUCAGGGAAAAGAGAGAGGGAAGGAAGGAAGAAAGGAGAUGGGAGAGAACUUGGUUCUGUAAAGACAGGUGGGGACAAGUUGUAAGAGAGACAUUAGGACAAUUCACAAAGCCUAAGGAGACAGCUCAAUACACAUUCAAGACAUUGAUAUGUGUGGGCAGCUGUUGUCCUGUCAUGGAGCAGAACACUGCCCCUCAGCAAGGCUGUUCUCUUUUCCUGCCAUGCCCCCUCACCACUGAGGGCAACAGCCGUUAGCGUUGUCUGAGCUUUUUAUAGAAGCAGAGUGGUCGGUCAGUCUGCUCUGUCUGUCUCUGUCAUGUCUACAUGAACCGGUUCCCCCUCAUGGUCAGUCGGUGCUGGACUGAAGAAUCUCUCCUCAGUCCUCCUGCGGUCGGGUAUCAGCUUUGCUCAGGCACAGACAUCAGUGAACAUUUCUGUUCUCACAGCCUUCUGACUGCCGCCUUCUUAUACAAACUUUUUUUUUCCCUUUGCCUCUUCCUUCCCUGUCCAGAACACUAUUAGGGAAUGGCAGACUGUCUUCUGUAUCGCUGCUGCUAUUAACGUGUUUGGGGCCAUUUUCUUCACGCUGUUUGCCAAAGGGGAAGUGCAGAGCUGGGCUCUCAGUGACCACCACGGACACAGAAACUGAAGACAACAAACAAUAAUUAAUGUGUUUUUAUUUAUCAUGGAAACUGAAAGUGCCUUUGGUAUUUGAAUGUGCAAGCAUUCUAUGUGAGAGAAAAAAAGUACUUAUAUUUGUAUGGUAAUCAUGAAAUGUUACUAGUUCCAAGAUCAUAUAAAAUGAGCUGUUGGGCUGGACAGAUGGCUCAGUGGUUACGAGCACUGAUUGCUCUUGGAGAGGUCCUGAGUUCAAUUCCCAGCAACCACAUGGUGGCUCAUAACCAUCUGUAAUGGGAUCAGAUGCCCUCUUCUGGUGUGUCUGAAGACAGAGACAGUGUACUCACACACAUUAAAUAAAUAAAUAAAUCUUUAAAAAAAAAGAAGAAGAAGAGGCUGGUCCUCUUUUAAAAAAAUAAAUAAAAAAUAAAAUGAGCUGUUUUUAAUUAUUACUAGUAUAUCUGCCAGGCCGUAUACUGGGUUCACAUAUCAGGCUGCAGGAAAGGCAGUAUGAUAUAAGGUAAGGGCAUAGGAAAUGAAGCUGAAAUGGACACACACACACACACACACACUGAUAAACUUGGUUAAUUAAAUCAGAUAAAUCAUUUCAGAUCUUAUUAAAAUACCUGCUUUUGUCUACUUCCCUUAUAAAAAUGCUUGCCAACUCUCCCUGACACCUAGACCUCAAUAACGUCUCCAAAGAACUGCCAGCCACAGUAAGAGUCGGCAGCCUGGCAGCGGUACUGGGGGAUCCGUGCCCAGGCAGCUGUCAAGCAUUCCCUCCCUGGCUGCAGGGCAGGAAUGCCCAGCACUUACCAGGGAUGGUGGCUUCCAAGUGCAGGGCCAAUGACAAGUGUUUGGCUGACACUCUUUCCCCCAUGGCUGUUAAUGUGCAGAUAAAGCUCUAAGUGGACUGGAGCAGUGGGAGCCAUAGCUACUGUCUUGACACUGCCAGCCUGCCUCGGCAGCACCCGGGCCCGACUCCUGGCAGGUGAUCUACAAAGCAGAAGCGUGGUACCCAGUCAGUCACAGAGAAUAGCAUCCUUGAUUCACAUCACUGGCCCAUGAAUUGGAGAACACAUUUUCACAUUCAGGUUUUUCUAGCUACAUUAGAACUUUUUUAAAUGUCUUACAUUUCUUCCCUUCAGUCUGUCUUGAUUUAUGCUUCUGGUUACAGUUUAAAGGGACUUUCAGGGCCAGGGGUUUGGCUCAGUGGUAGAGCAUUUACAUAGGAUUGUGCUCCAUUCAACACCAAAAUAGAGGUAAAAGGCAGGGCACCCAAAGCUUGUCAGUCCCCUUUACCCUGCUUCCUGACCAGUGUCUCCCAGUGGUUAGGCACACUGUAAGAGGUCCCUAGUCUGUGUGGUGGUACCUUUAAUGCCAGCACUUGGGAGGCAGAAGCAGGCAGAUCUUUGCGACUUCGAGGCCAGUCUGGUCUGCAAAGGGGCUUCCAGGACAGCCGGGGCUAUAACUCAAAAACAAAAACAAAAAGAUUAUCCAAGGAUUGAAAGCCUGCCUUAUGUUUUGUUGUAUCUGUUCAACACUUAUCUAUAACAUUUUAACUAAUGAUUGGUUAAUGUACUGUUGUGUAAAUACAGUUAUAUAAAUUUGUUUUUAAUUUGUAAAUAUAAAUUAAGUUGCCAUGUGACAUUUCUUUUAUAAAUCAUCAAAAUCCUUUUGC
rnacentral:lncRNA from 1 species